rnacentral:piRNA from 1 species
UGGGAUGCUAACUCCCCUACCCUUGGACUC